AUUGAACGCUGGCGGCAGGCCUAACACAUGCAAGUCGAGCGGAUGAAGGGAGCUUGCUCCUGGCUUCAGCGGCGGACGGGUGAGUAGUGCCUAGGAAUCUGCCUGGCAGUGGGGGAUAACGUCCGGAAACGGGCGCUAAUACCGCAUACGUCCUGAGGGAGAAAGUGGGGGAUCUUCGGACCUCACGCUAUCAGAUGAGACUAGGUCGGAUUAGCUAGUUGGUGGGGUAAAGGCCUACCAAGGCGACGAUCCGUAACUGGUCUGAGAGGAUGAUCAGUCACACUGGAACUGAGACACGGUCCAGACUCCUACGGGAGGCAGCAGUAGGGAAUAUUGGACAAUGGGCGAAAGCCUGAUGCAGCCAUGCCGCGUGUGUGAAGAAGGUCUUCGGAUUGUAAAGCACUUUAAGUAGGGAGGAAGGACAGUAAGUUAAUACCCUGCUGUUUUGACGUUACCAACAGAAUAAGCACCGGCUAACUUCGUG
rnacentral:rRNA from 1 species